UCCAGACUCCUACGGGAGGCAGCAGUGGGGAAUAUUGGGCAAUGGGCGCAAGCCUGACCCAGCAACGCCGCGUGAAGGAAGAAGGCUUUCGGGUUGUAAACUUCUUUUAAGAGGGAAGAGUAGAAGACGGUACCUCUUGAAUAAGCCACGGCUAACUACGUGCCAGCAGCCGCGGUAAUACGUAGGGGGCAAGCGUUAUCCGGAUUUACUGGGUGUAAAGGGAGCGCAGACGGCAGUGCAAGUCUGGAGUGAAAGCCCGGGGCCCAACCCCGGAACUGCUCUGGAAACUGUGCGGCUAGAGUACUGGAGGGGCAGGCGGAAUUCCUAGUGUAGCGGUGAAAUGCGUAGAUAUUAGGAGGAACACCAGUGGCGAAGGCGGCCUGCUGGACAGUAACUGACGUUGAGGCUCGAAAGCGUGGGGAGCAAACAGGAUUAGAUACCCCCGUAG
rnacentral:rRNA from 1 species